rnacentral:lncRNA from 1 species
GCUUACCAUCUUGCCCAGGUUGGGAUUUCUGCACUUUAAAUGGGUGAAUUUUAUGAUAUGUGAAUGAUAUUUCAAUAAAGAUGUUUUUAAAAAGAAACGUGAUUAAACCAUUUUUGCUUUCUGAAUUUACAAGAAUUGGGAACUCUAUUAACUUUUUAAAAAUUAACAGUAUAGGCCAGAACAAUUGCUAUAUAGGAUAAUAAUAAAUGUUACUUCUAUGCAUCUAACAAAAACCUCACAUAUCACCUGAAGUACUUUGUACCACGUCUGGCACCUAGUAAGCUUUU